rnacentral:rRNA from 1 species
CGCUAGCUACAGGCUUAACACAUGCAAGUCGAGGGGCAGCAUUUCAGUUUGCUUGCAAACUGGAGAUGGCGACCGGCGCACGGGUGAGUAACACGUAUCCAACCUGCCGAUAACUCGGGGAUAGCCUUUCGAAAGAAAGAUUAAUACCCGAUGGCAUAAUUAGACCGCAUGGUCUUAUUAUUAAAGAAUUUCGGUUAUCGAUGGGGAUGCGUUCCAUUAGGCAGUUGGUGAGGUAACGGCUCACCAAACCUUCGAUGGAUAGGGGUUCUGAGAGGAAGGUCCCCCACAUUGGAACUGAGACACGGUCCAAACUCCUACGGGAGGCAGCAGUGAGGAAUAUUGGUCAAUGGACGAGAGUCUGAACCAGCCAAGUAGCGUGAAGGAUGACUGCCCUAUGGGUUGUAAACUUCUUUUAUAUGGGAAUAAAGUUUUCCACGUGUGGAAUUUUGUAUGUACCAUAUGAAUAAGGAUCGGCUAACUCCGUGCCAGCAGCCGCGGUAAUACGGAGGAUCCGAGCGUUAUCCGGAUUUAUUGGGUUUAAAGGGAGCGUAGGUGGACAGUUAAGUCAGUUGUGAAAGUUUGCGGCCCAACCGUAAAAUUGCAGUUGAUACUGGCUGUCUUGAGUACAGUAGAGGUGGGCGGAAUUCGUGGUGUAGCGGUGAAAUGCUUAGAUAUCACGAAGAACUCCGAUUGCGAAGGCAGCUCACUGGACUGCAACUGACACUGAUGCUCGAAAGUGUGGGUAUCAAACAGGAUUAGAUACCCUGGUAGUCCACACAGUAAACGAUGAAUACUCGCUGUUUGCGAUAUACAGUAAGCGGCCAAGCGAAAGCAUUAAGUAUUCCACCUGGGGAGUACGCCGGCAACGGUGAAACUCAAAGGAAUUGACGGGGGCCCGCACAAGCGGAGGAACAUGUGGUUUAAUUCGAUGAUACGCGAGGAACCUUACCCGGGCUUAAAUUGCAUUUGAAUAAUCUGGAAACAGGUUAGCCGCAAGGCAAAUGUGAAGGUGCUGCAUGGUUGUCGUCAGCUCGUGCCGUGAGGUGUCGGCUUAAGUGCCAUAACGAGCGCAACCCUUAUCUUUAGUUACUAACAGGUCAUGCUGAGGACUCUAGAGAGACUGCCGUCGUAAGAUGUGAGGAAGGUGGGGAUGACGUCAAAUCAGCACGGCCCUUACGUCCGGGGCUACACACGUGUUACAAUGGGGGGUACAGAAGGCAGCUACCUGGUGACAGGAUGCUAAUCCCAAAAGCCUCUCUCAGUUCGGAUCGAAGUCUGCAACCCGACUUCGUGAAGCUGGAUUCGCUAGUAAUCGCGCAUCAGCCAUGGCGCGGUGAAUACGUUCCCGGGCCUUGUACACACCGCCCGUCAAGCCAUGAAAGCCGGGGGUACCUGAAGUACGUAACCGCAAGGAGCGUCCUAGGGUAAAACUGGUAAUUGGGG